UACGUAGGGGGCAAGUGUUAUCCGGAAUUACUGGGUGUAAAGGGUGAGUAGGCGGCAUGGUAAGCCAGAUGUGAAAGCCUUGGGCUUAACCCGAGGAUUGCAUUUGGAACUAUCAAGCUAGAGUACAGGAGAGGAAAGCGGAAUUCCUAGUGUAGCGGUGAAAUGCGUAGAUAUUAGGAAGAACACCAGUGGCGAAGGCGGCUUUCUGGACUGAAACUGACGCUGAGGCACGAAAGCGUGGGGAGCGAACAGG
rnacentral:rRNA from 1 species